GGAAUUUUGGACAAUGGGCGCAAGCCUGAUCCAGCAAUGCCGCGUGAGUGAAGAAGGCCUUCGGGUUGUAAAGCUCUUUUGUCAGGGAAGAAACGGUGAGCUCUAAUACAGUUUGCUAAUGACGGUACCUGAAGAAUAAGCACCGGCUAACUACGUGCCAGCAGCCGCGGUAAUACGUAGGGUGCAAGCGUUAAUCGGAAUUACUGGGCGUAAAGCGUGCGCAGGCGGUUUGGUAAGACAGAUGUGAAAUCCCUGGGCUCAACCUAGGAAUUGCAUUUGUGACUGCCCGGCUAGAGUGUGUCAGAGGGGGGUAGAAUUCCACGUGUAGCAGUGAAAUGCGUAGAGAUGUGGAGGAAUACCGAUGGCGAAGGCAGCCCCCUGGGAUAACACUGACGCUCAUGCACGAAAGCGUGGGGAGCAAACAGGAUUAGAUACCCUUG
rnacentral:rRNA from 1 species